CCAAUAGCGUAUAUUAAAGUUGUUGCAGUUAAAAAGCUCGUAGUUGAAUUUCGGGGUUAGUAGAUUGGUCAUGCCUCUGGUAUGCACUGGUCUCACUGAUUCCUCCUUCCUGAUGAGCCGUAAUGCCAUUAAUUUGGUGUUGCGGGGAAUUUGGACUGUUACUUUGAAAAAAAUUAGAGUGUUUAAAGCAAGCUAACGCUUGAAUACAUUAGCAUGGAAUAAUGAAAUAGGACGUUCGAUCCUAUUUUGUUGGUUUCUAGGAUUGACGUAAUGAUUAAUAGGGAUAGUUGGGGGCAUUAGUAUUCAAUUGUCAGAGGUGAAAUUCUUGGAUUUAUUGAAGACUAACUACUGCGAAAGCAUUUGCCAAGGAUGUUUUCAUUAAUCAAGAACGAAAGUUAGGGGAUCGAAGACGAUCAGAUACCGUCGUAGUCUUAACCAUAAACUAUGCCGACUAGGGAUCGGAUGAUGUUAAUUUUUUAAUGACUCAUUCGGCGCCUUACG
rnacentral:rRNA from 1 species